AAGACAUACUGGAAGGGGAGGAAAACGACGAACAGUUACAAUGCCAACAUAAAUAUUUCUCCCUCCCUUUUUUUUUAUGGACAACAUGUGCCUUGAUACUGUUAUGCAAUUCUCUCAUUACUUUAAUACAGGGUUAAUAGCGGCAAACAGGGUGAGAUAUACAUCACUGCAUUAGGCGGCCUAUAUAAUUCACUUGGUGGUCUUUAUCAUUGCAGUUACAUAAGAAAUAAAUAGACGCACACACAGAAAGCAUGGAACGUUACCUACGUGAAGAAAAUAAAUAGUUCAAGAACACGGCUUUCAUUCUGUUUAUUCACUCGUGAGUUGCCCCUGCCUUUCCUUGCAGCCAACCAGUCUUGCCCGCCCACUUGCUUCAGAACUGACCUUGCAUUUCUGCCACAUAACCAUCCGAAGCUCCAGGCUAACACGAGAAUAAGAGGAAAUACAAAAUACACCGUCAAGACCCGUCUUUAUCUUUUAAGGAGAACAUUUAUUAUAUCCGACUAAUUUUGAUCUCAUAAAGAUAUAAAUUAAAUGGUUAUUAUCAAAGGGACAAAAACAAGACAAGGACAAAAAGAAAACAAAACAAAUACAAAAGUUAACGGACCAUCAAGAUGCAUGAGUAUAAAAGGGCGCUUGCCGCCUUCUCAAUCCAGUUGUUCCAGUAGUCACACCGAGUGCUGAGGGGACCAACCAUGAUGUUUUUAGUGGGGAUGUUUUUGAUGGCGGUGGGAGUCAGCGCCCAGUUCACGCUCACCGGUAUCUACCAUCGUGACGGAACUUUUGAACCUUUCACUCCGGAACAGACCGCCAACAUUGCCGUCAUAGGGUCGUCGGGCGUGGUCAGAUACGACGCAAAUAACUUUCAGUUUACUCUUGGAAUGGCUGCCAACCACAACAAACUGCCUCUGCCUCCGUUCCUGAAAGAAGUCCCGUAGUGGCAUCUAGUGAUCCGAAGAUCGGAUGACUAAUUUUGCCUGGCUAGCUGGACAAUUUUUGCCUGUUUUAUCGAGUAAUGGACGUCUUCUGGAUAGCAAAUAACUCACUGUACCUAACAUGAAAUCAAUCUAAAAAAAAAAAAAAAAGAAAAAAAAAUGCAAGAAACAGAAUAUAUUGAAAACUGUAAUUUUAUUCUGUGAAAUAAACAUAUAAUUGCGUCAGCA